rnacentral:lncRNA from 1 species
CCCACGCUCCSGAAGCCCUGCCCAAGGGGAAGCCGCUGCGCCCGCUGCAAGCCAGCCGAUCCUCUGGUGGACAGGGACGCACUUGCCAGGGGUUAAACCCUCUGCCUUGGCAAAAGGCUGUAUAGGAUUUGCUGUUGCUUUGAAAGCCUCCUGCUAUUUUACAGGCAAUAAAAAAGAGAGACUAAAAACACUUAUUUCCUGAAGCUUGCUCGUUUCUCGAGCUCUGUUAAACCGAGCGUGCCUAGCAGGGGGAAGAGAGGCCUGAGCCCCGUGGACCCUUCGUCCAGUUGGGGAGGCCAAAAUUUCGCUGCCUGCCCCAGCGACGGCCGGCUUCGUUCAGCCUGGGAGCCCCCGUCGGGCGCCCUGACGUGCAGCGGAGACCCAGCUCGAUGCAGCUGGCCACGGGAUCCCACGUGGACUGUCCCCACGGCUCCCACGCUGCAGGCGAGCCGGACGCCGGUUCCCAGCUCUUGCACUGGUGACCRCUCUUGCUUCGCAGGUUUGCAAGAAUACAGAGCAAAGCCUCAACCUGACUGA